AACGCUAGCUACAGGCUUAACACAUGCAAGUCGAGGGGAAACGACAUCGAAAGCUUGCUUUUGAUGGGCGUCGACCGGCGCACGGGUGAGUAACGCGUAUCCAACCUGCCCACCACUUGGGGAUAACCUUGCGAAAGUAAGACUAAUACCCGAUGAUAUCCCUAGACGACAUCUGAAAGGGAUUAAAGAUUUAUCGGUGAUGGAUGGGGAUGCGUCUGAUUAGCUUGUUGGCGGGGUAACGGCCCACCAAGGCAACGAUCAGUAGGGGUUCUGAGAGGAAGGUCCCCCACAUUGGAACUGAGACACGGUCCAAACUCCUACGGGAGGCAGCAGUGAGGAAUAUUGGUCAAUGGGCGAGAGCCUGAACCAGCCAAGUAGCGUGCAGGAUGACGGCCCUAUGGGUUGUAACCUGCUUUUAUAAGGGAAUAAAGUGAGCCUCGUGAGGCUUUUUGCAUGUACCUUAUGAAUAAGGACCGGCUAAUUCCGUGCCAGCAGCCGCGGUAAUACGGAAGGUCCGGGCGUUAUCCGGAUUUAUUGGGUUUAAAGGGAGCGUAGGCCGGAGAUUAAGCGUGUUGUGAAAUGUAGAUGCUCAACAUCUGCACUGCAGCGCGAACUGGUUUCCUUGAGUACGCACAAAGUGGGCGGAAUUCGUGGUGUAGCGGUGAAAUGCUUAGAUAUCACGAAGAACUCCGAUUG
rnacentral:rRNA from 1 species